GGGCCCGUAGCUCAGUCAGGAAGAGCACCGGAAGUGAUGGUGAGACUUUUAAAUGACUGAGGAGAUCCGGGGGUCUCGGGAUCAAAGCCCGACGGGCCCG
rnacentral:tRNA from 1 species